rnacentral:rRNA from 1 species
UAGUCCACGCCGUAAACGAUGAGCACUAGUUGUAGCGGGUAUUGACUCCUGCUGCGACGCAGCUAACGCAUUAAGUGCUCCGCCUGGGGAGUACGGUCGCAAGACUAAAACUCAAAGGAAUUGACGGGGGCCCGCACAAGCGGUGGAUCAUGUGGUUUAAUUCGAAGCAACGCGCAAAACCUUACCUGGGCUUAAAAUCCUGAGAACUCUCUAGAAGUAGAGAGGUGCCCUUCGGGGAAUUCAGUGAUAGGCGCUGCAUGGCUGUCGUCAGCUCGUGUUGUGAAAUGUUGGGUUAAGUCUCGCAACGAGCGCAACCCCUAUCCUUAGUUGCCAGCAUUAAGUUGGGCACUCUAGGGAGACUGCCUGGGUUAACCAGGGAGGAAGGUGGGGAUGACGUCAAGUCCCCAUGGCCCUUAUGUCCAGGGGCUACACACGUGAUACAAUGGGAUAGUACAGAGGGAUGCCAGACCGCGAGGGUUGAGCAAAUCU